rnacentral:rRNA from 1 species
UACGGAGGAUGCGAGCGUUAUCCGGAUUUAUUGGGUUUAAAGGGUGCGCAGGCGGAUUUUUAAGUCAGCGGUCAAGUCGUGGGGCUCAACCCCAUCCAGCCGUUGAAACUGGGGAUCUAGAGUGUGCGAGAGGUAUGCGGAAUGCGUGGUGUAGCGGUGAAAUGCAUAGAUAUCACGCAGAACCCCGAUUGCGAAGGCAGCAUACCGGUGCACAACUGACGCUCAGGCACGAAAGCGUGGGUAUCGAACAGG